ensembl:lncRNA
GUGUCCCAUCUGCUGUGAAAUUCUUGGCCCCCUUGGAAUUGGCAGGCUAGAAGGAGGGGGAUACAUAAGUGAGUACGAAUUGGCUUUUCUGGAUACAGCCUGGGAAGUGGGAUAUUUAACCCAUCUGUGUUUUCAUCCGCACCUGAUCAAGCCCACCAAGGCAGAACGGACUUUAAAAGUUAAGGGAGAAACAGUCUUGGAUCACGUGGUGUUCUGGUUUGGCCGUGCUGACCGGCCGGUGAAGACACGCCGAUCCCCCUUCUCCCUCUGGGAUCUGACAGGGCACCAGCCUGGUGAAACAAGGACAACGACUGGUGGGAUGUGCAGUAGUCACGGAAGAAACCAUCGUUGAGGCCAGCUCUCUGCCAUCACACUGGUCCGCUCAACGGGCCCAACUAUAUGCUCUAAUCCGGGCCCUCCAGCUAUCAAAAGAGCCUUGAAAAUGAAGAUGAAGUUAAAAUGAGGCUCUAAGAGUGGGCCUUAAUCCAAUGUCACUGGUGACUGUGUGAGAAGAAGAAAUUUGGACAUACAAAGGGACACCAGAAGUAUCUGCUGCAAGAAAAGACCACAUGAAGACACCAUGAAAAGACAGGCAUCUGCAGCCAUUAGGAAAGGCUUCAGAAGAAACCAAACCAAUUGAUGGUUCAGUCGCUCAGUCGUGUCCGACUCUCUGCAACCCCAUGGACUGCAGCACGCCAGGGCUUCCCUGUCCAUCACCAACUCCCGGAGCUUGCUCAAACUCAUGUCCAUCGAGUUGGUGAUGCCAUCCAACCAUCUCAUCCUCAACCAAUUGACACCUUGACCUUAAACUUCCCACCGCUGCAACUGUGAGAAAGUAAAUUCUGUUUUUUAAGCCAUUAGUCUGUGGUAUUUGUUAUGGCAGUUCUAGCAAGCUAAUGUAGCCUCUUGUAGCAAGUACCGGGGACUUCCCUGGUGGUCCAGCAGCUAAGACUCUGCUCUCAAUGCAGGGGGACUGGGUUCAACCCCUGGUUGGGGAACUGGAUCCUGCAUGCUGCAACUAACGGUUCGUAUGCCACAACUAAGAGUUUGUAUUCCACAACUAAAGAUCCUGAAUGUUGCAAUGAAGAUCAAAGAUCCUAGGUGCUGCAACUAAGACCCAGUGCAGCCAAAUUAAAAAAAGAAAAGUACUGAUACUUUAAUGCCCAAAUAUGUUCAAGUCAGAGCAAA